rnacentral:ncRNA from 1 species
AUCUUCAGGGCAGGGUGAGAUUCCCUACCGGCGGUAAAGCCCGCGAGCCGGGAGGCAUGAUUCGGUGAGAUUCCGAAGCCGACAGUAUAGUCUGGAUGAGAGAAGAA